UCGCCUCCUGUAACAUGUAAACAUAGGAGGUCCCGCCUGCCCUGUGACGAUAAGUUUAACGGCCGCGGUAUUUUAACCGUGCGAAGGUAGCGUAAUCACUUGUCUUUUAAAUGAAGACCAGUAUGAAUGGCAUCACGAGGGCUUAACUGUCUCCCCUAUCCAGUCAAUGAAAUUGACUUUCCCGUGCAGAGGCGGGAAUAAUGACAUAAGACGAGAAGACCCUGUGGAGCUUUAGACUUAAGAUAAAUUGUACCUGUAUGUUAUAUCCCUAAUAGAAUCCAGCAAUUAUAUAUUUAAAUGUCUUUGGUUGGGGCGACCGCGGGGUAAAAAAUAACCCCCAUGUAGAUAAGGGGUAUUACCCUUAACACUCAGAGCCUCCCCUCUAAGUAACAGAAAAUCUGACUUCCUGAUCCGGCACUCCCGAUCAACGAACCCAGUUACCCCAGGGAUAACAGCGCAAUCCCCUCCCAGAGCCCUUAUCGACGAGGGGGUUUACGACCUCGAUGUUGGAUCAGGACAUCCUAAUGGUGCAGCCGCUAU
rnacentral:rRNA from 1 species